rnacentral:misc_RNA from 1 species
ACCCACCAUAAAGCACAAGCUCUGAAAUUAUGCACCUCAAAUUCAACAGUCAUGUCUAUACAGUUAGUAUAAUAUACAGCUCUUACCUUUCUAGUGAUCUCUGUAGCAUAACAAAAGCUCAGGACUUGAACAAUACACUGAUCAAACUCAGAAUUAUUUACAGUUUCUUGCUGGAACACAAAAAGAGGUGUUGAGAUAUAAGUACAGCAAGUGUGUUCUCUGUAUAUCCUCAUGCUUUCUCGUGUCAAUUUGAACAAACAUUGUCGUAGAAGUCCCAGAUAACCAUAAAAAGAGAACUUCCCUGUUAAAAGUUAU